rnacentral:rRNA from 1 species
GGUUCAUUCAAAUUUCUGCCUAUCAACUUUCGAUGGUAGGAUAGAGGCUACCAUGGUUUCAACGGGUAACGGAGAAUUAGGGUUCGAUUCCGGAGAGGGAGCAUGAGAAACGGCUACCACAUCUAAGGAAGGCAGCAGGCGCGCAAAUUACCCAAUCCCGACCGGGGAGGUAGUGACAAUAAAUAACAAUCCAGGGCCUCUGGUCUUGGAAUUGGAAUGAGUACAAUUUAAAUCCCUUAACGAGGGACAAUUGGAGGGCAAGUCUGGUGCCAGCAGCCGCGGUAAUUCCAGCUCCAAUAGCGUAUUCGUGAGUUGCUGCGAUUAAAUCGUCCGUAGUUG